GCACUCUGGUUUCUCCUCAGAUCAGAUUAACCUUUUGCCUUUUAUUGGAGAUUUUCCUGGAGAGGAGCAACUCUGAGUUUAUACUCAAUUUUUUUCUUUCUUUUAAGAUA
rnacentral:snRNA from 1 species